rnacentral:rRNA from 1 species
GACGAACGCUGGCGGCGUGCCUAAUACAUGCAAGUCGAACGCAGUUGCGAACGGGUGCGUAACGCGUAGGUACCUGCCUCAUCGCGGGGGACAAAUAUUGGAAACGAUAGCUAAUACCGCCUACUGUGAGUUGGACCUGCGUUGUAUUCGCUAGUUGGUGAGGUAAAGGCUCACCAAGGCGCCGAUACAUACCCGACCCGAGAGGGGGAUCGGGCACCCUGGGACUGAGAAACGGGCCCGACUCCUACGGGAGGCAGCAGUAGGGGAUCUUCGGCAAUGGACGGAAGGCCGACCGAGCAAAGGCGCGGGAAUGGAGAAGGUUUUCCGAUCGUAAAGCUUUGGUUUUAGAGAAGCGGUAUCUAACCAGAAAGGGACGGCUAACUACGUGCCAGCAGCCGCGGUAAUAC